rnacentral:tRNA from 1 species
GGGCGAUUAGCUCAGUGGGAGAGCAUCUCGUUUACACCGAGGGGGUCGGCGGUUCAAUCCCGUCAUCGCCCACCA